CCUCAGUACGGCGAGUGAAGCGGCAAAAGCUCAAAUUUGAAAUCCUCCGGGAAUUGUAAUUUGAAGGUGGGGUUGAAUAGGUCUAGAUACUUUAAGUCCAUUGGAAAAUGGCGCCAUGGAGGGUGAUAGCCCCGUAAAAGUAUUAACGCCUUCUUUUCUUCCCCUCCUAAGAGUCGAGUUGUUUGGGAAUGCAGCUCUAAGUGGGUGGUAAAUUCCAUCUAAAGCUAAAUAUUGGCGAGAGACCGAUAGCGAACAAGUACAGUGAUGGAAAGAUGAAAAGCACUUUGAAAAGAGAGUGAAAAAGUACGUGAAAUUGUUGAAAGGGAAGGGCUUGCAAGCAAACACAACCUCGGUUGGGCCAACAUCGGAGUGGGGGGAGACAAAAAAGGUUAGGAAUGUAGCUCCCUUUAGAGUAUUAUAUCCUGGCCCUAUAUCUCCCCCCCCUUCCGAGGCCUGCGAUUCUUCAAGGAUGCUGGCGUAAUGGUUGCAAGUCCCCCGUCUUGAAACACGGACCAAGGAGUCUAACCUCUAUGCGAGUGUUUGAGUACCAAACCCAAACGCGCAAUGAAAGUAAUAGGAGCGAACC
rnacentral:rRNA from 1 species